rnacentral:lncRNA from 1 species
CAAAAGCACUGGACUUUGGAUAUAAAAUUACCUCUUCUUUUUUUUCUUUUUCCACAGGUUUUAUAUCAAGACUUAACCAGGCACAUUGCCUUCCAUUUGACAUGAUCAUUCCCAUCAGGGAUCCUACCAUCAUAGUUCUGCUGGGGAAAAAUUGUAUCCCUCUAGGCAGUGCUAUGAGGAAGUUGAUGCAAGCUGAAGAAGUUAAGUGUCUUGCCUAGGUUCAUACAACUGUCAAGUGGCAGAACCAGGAUUCGAAUUCCUGUCUUCUGAUUUCCAGGUUGGUGUUUCUUUUACAAUAUUCUGGCUGCUGUAAAAAAGAAGUUGGGGGGUAGGCAGGGU